UCGGAAUACUGGGCGUAAGGGCACGCUAGGCUGUGAAUCGGGUUUGAAAGUUAAAGCUCGCCAAAANGAUGGUGGAAUGCUAUCGUAAACCACAUUCACAUUGAGUGAGACAGAGGAGAGUGGAAUUUCUCUGUGUAGGGGUGAAAUCCUGAAGAUCUACUAAGGAAGGCCAAAAGCGAAGGCAGCUCUCUGGGUCUCUACCGACGCUGGANUGCNAAAGCAUGGGGAGCGAACGGGAUUAUAUACCCUGGUUAGUCCACCA
rnacentral:rRNA from 1 species